ensembl:lncRNA novel transcript
GCUAUAGGAACUGGGCUCUGGGCAAAGCAUGCUCGCUGUGACCCCUCUUGCAAGCAUUUUCCUGUUUAAGCUGUGGAAGCCCAUGUGAAGUAAACACUGAGGUCUUUUAAGGCCGAACGCCCUUGCCACGCCAUCGGCAUCGAAGGAUGAUAUGAAAACAAACAAAACAACCUGUGUCAUCUACCCUAGAAGUCUGAAUGUAGGCAGACCACUAACUGGAGAAUGAUGACCAUCAACUUUCACCUGUACAUGUCACACAGAGCAAGGCCACAGAGGUUCUCACGGGACAACCCACGAAGGGAAAUGCUGAAUGUCAACUCAGCUUAGCUAAUGAGGAACUGACCUUUGGGGAAGGAUCCGGCGCUGCCAGUGAUUAUGACUGGCUUAACACUUCCCUCUGCCACGUGGCUUGCAAGGUUCCCCCAUGGCUGGUGUCUUCCUCAGGGGCUGUGGCAGCCAAACGUGUUUAAUGAACCCAGCAAAGUGAUAAACUAUGUUUGUGUU